CUGACUCACACAGAGGCAGCUUCCAGCCUUCCACAGUUCUUCCAAUUCGACACAGUUAUUUAUUUAUUUUUUUAAGGUCCAAACUCCUGUGCAGAGCAAGCAUCCAAAUGCUGUCAUCCUCUCAGCCCCAUGCUCUAGCUCAUUUUUCACACCACUGGAUUUAAUUUACUAUUAUCGUGCCUGGAAUGUGUUUGCAUCUGUAUUCUUGAGAGAUUGCUAUACAGCUCAUUUGAGGCCUCACAAGAUUAAAACUUGAUGCUUCAGACCCUCUGAGCCCCUUUGUCUGCGUGGAACGGGUCUCUAGUCGCGGGUGGACAAAGCGUAGGAUGAGUGACAAACAGACGCACACAGGAGAGGUCGAGGAAUCUGAAUGUCAUUUUUCAAAUCGAGCAUCAGACUUUUUAUGCAGAAGACAAUAAGGAAGUUGGAUGACAUACCUGCAAGCUUUCCCAGAUAUCUCUGAAGAUACCAUUUUGAAUAGGACUCACAUCACUCACUGCCUUGGUAGGGUCAUCUUUGUUCCACAAGAGGAAAACUGUCCACGAGAGGGUGGAGAUCACUCUGGCCAUGCAUAAUCAGAUUAACAUCAACGGUCCUUUACUCUGAAGAAGCCAUGGAGACCCCUCUUGCUGAUUAAGCCAGCUCAGGCUCCUGUGGAUGCUAUGGCCCUGGGCACUGAGCCCAGCAUCUGAACUUGUUCCUGGACCAGAGGUUCGAGAUGUCCACUUCUGAGGCCAUUUACUUCUUUGUGGGCCACCAGCUGUU
rnacentral:lncRNA from 1 species